rnacentral:rRNA from 1 species
GAUGAACGCUAGCUACAGGCUUAACACAUGCAAGUCGAGGGACCGGCGCACGUGUGAGUAACCCGUAUCCAACCUGCCCUUUACUCGGUGAUUGCCUUUCGAAAGAACGAUUAAUACCCGACAUAAAGGACGGGGAUGCGUUCCAUUAGGUUGUUGGUGAGGUCACGGCCCACCAAACCUUCACUGGAUUGGGGUGCAGAGAGGAAGGUCACCAGCCAUGGACACGCGCCUCGGACCAAAAUCAUACGGAAGGCAGCAGUGAGUAAUAUUGUUCAAUGGGAGUUGGCAUGAAACAGCCAAGUGGAGUGAAGGAUGAAGGCUUAUGGGUCGUAAACUUCUUUUAUAUAAGAAUAUGUAUUAUAUGAAUAAGGAUCGGCUAACUCCGUGCCAGCAGCCGCGGUAAUUC